rnacentral:rRNA from 1 species
UACGAGUGGUCCAAGCGUUAUCCGGAAUUAUUGGGCGUAAAGGAUAUGUAGGUUGUUAUAUUAGUCUCUGGUCUAACCUCUCGGCUCAACCGGGAACCAGCCAGAGAAACGGUAUAACUAGAGUAUAGUAGGGGUAAGCGGAACUCAUAGUGUAGGGGUGAAAUCCGUUGAUAUUAUGGGGAACACCAAAAGCGAAGGCAGCUUACUGGACUAUUACUGACACUGAAAUAUGAAAGCGUGGGUAGCGAAUGGG